AUGUCUAGCUCAAUAUUUUCAUCAUCUUUCAGUGAACUGCUCCUCCUCGCAGAUGGUGGAGUGAAGUUCGCUGAUGAAAAUAUCGAGGCCAGUUCUUCAGAUGUUGUUGCGAUGAAUUGUCCAUUGCCAUUUGCAUCACUCUCGUUUGCCUUGCUCCCUUUAGUGUCUUUCAUAAUCAUCCCAAAUAAGCCCUGGAGAUCUUCCAUUAUCAGAAAGAAAGAUACACAGAUGCCUCAACUGACCAUAAGAUUAAUCAGUUACCUUUUUCUUUUCUUUGGGAGACUUAACCACAUAGGAAGAUUCUUCCCUGAGAGGGUGGUCUUUUCUGUAUACCAUAUUAAUAUUGUCUACAUGCCUGCGUACAAACCGCACGCUUAG
rnacentral:rRNA from 1 species